rnacentral:rRNA from 1 species
GGGUCAGUAGGUUGGUCGUGCCACCGGUACGUACUGGUCUCACUGAUUCCUCCUUCCUGAAGAGCCGUAAUGCCAUUAAUUUGGUGUUGCGGGGAAACAGGACUGUUACUUUGAAAAAAUUAGAGUGUUUAAAGCAAGCUAACGCUUGAAUACAUUAGCAUGGGAUAAUGAAAUAGGACGAUCGAUCCUAUUUUGUUGGUUUCUAGGAUUGACGUA